rnacentral:rRNA from 1 species
UGCCAGCUGCCGCGGUAACACGAACCGUCCAAACGUUAUUCGGAAUCACUGGGCGUAAAGCGUACGUAGGUGGCAAAGUCAGUCAGGCGUGAAAGCCCUCGGCUCAACCGAGGAAUUGCGUUUGAUACUACUUUGCUAGAGUCUCGGAGAGGUUGGCGGAAUUCCAGGUGUAGGAGUGAAAUCCGUAGAUAUCUGGAGGAACACCAGUGGCGAAGGCGGCCAACUGGACGAGUACUGACACUGAGGUACGAAAGCGUGGGUAGCAAACAGGAUUAGAUA